rnacentral:rRNA from 1 species
UACAGGGGGUGCAAACGUUGCUCGGAAUUAUUGGGCGCAAAGCGCACGUAGGCGGUUACUUAAGUCGGAUGUGAAAGCCCUUGGCUCAACCUCGGGCCUGCAGUCGAUACGGGCAAACUAGAGUACUGCAGGGGAGACUGGAAUUCCUGGUGUAGCGGUGAAAUGCGCAGAUAUCGGGAAGAACACCUGUGGCGAAGGCGGCUCUCUGGGACGGUACUGACGCUGAGACGCGAAAGCGUGGGGAGCAAACAGG